UGUUUCUAUAAUGAAAUUUAAAGUAGUCUAACUACUUGCUUCUCACCUGAAACACAGGGGUGGUUUUUAGCCUGCACUCCAUCCUGUGCUGUUGUGACUAUGUUUUCACAGUCACAAAGCUAUGCUAUAUAAGAAUCUGUCAGUACAUCAACAAUUCCUACCCUAAUGCAAAGCAGUUCUAUUUAUCUUUUAUUUCAUUCCAGACAAACUCAGCUGGAUGUCACAAGAACUCUGUAGUAGUAGAAGGGGAAAACAGAUGCAGAACACAGACUUGUAUCUGAACUCUUCCAAGCAUCCAGUGCUGCCUUUUUGGUUAUGACUUGCUGUGACUCAUAUACUACAUUCAUUCCAAGAUACAUUUAGUCACUGGCUGUGGUAUAAUCAUUGUUUCAGUUCAUUUCAUCUUUAAAUUUAAUACCUACAAGGGGUGUAGGGGGAAGAUGCAUCAAAAUGCUCUGAUAAAUUGUUAUUGUAAGAAGUAAAGAAUCAAUAGGAUGUCUGAGAAAUAUGUCUGAGAAAGUAAAGUAGUCUCUUUAUAAUGCAAAAAGCUCUUUAACAGUUAAAUUUUGCAAGAGGCUGUCAUGGAAAUUGAGGCAAUAGAAAUUUCUACUGUGGUUUAAAACCUGCUAUGAAGAAUAACAUAGGCUGGAAAUAUUUCAUGUUUGAAAGCAACCAAAAGCACUUUCAACCUGUGUAGCCGUCUCUGAUUUUGCAGUGAUUCCCCUCAAAAGUUUAGUGUCUUUACAAUCAAAUGUUCCUGUUUUUAAAACCUUUCUUCUUUUAGCGUGAGAAAGUCUCUGAGUAAUAGGAGAAAUGACAAAAUAAGUGAUACUGAAAAGAAGCUGGUGCAAUUAGUUAUUCAUGAGAGUUGUCCAACACGCUGCAUAAACCACACUGAAAAAAACAGAGCAAAGCUCAAAUUACAGUAACCUUACAAUGACAACAAUAACCAACACAGUUUUGAAACACAAAUGUGAACUCCUCUACCGAGUUUUUUUUCCCAUAAAAUUGGAAUCUGUCGGUGUGUUGGAAUGUGCACUCAGUGCACUGCAAAAGAGCUUGAGAACCUUCUCAGACAAUGGCUUGAAGUCUUCUGCAACAGUCAAGGAGAGACAAUAAGAGAUGGCAGAAUUAGAUAGAUUUCAGAGGUUGCAAUCAAACUGGAGAACUUCAGUCUAAAGGCCUGCUACUAUCAGAUGAGCCUCCAAGGUGAAACCUGACCACAGUGGAUUUGCAUUCACAACCAAAAUAAAAUGGUUCAGUCUGGUGCUGUACAGAGAUCCCAGAACCUGACUCCUCUGUUUUCCACAUCAGUGUGACAGACAGCACAUACUCCUGGUUUCCUGAGCUCUGCUCUUUCUGGCUAACAGAAAAAAAAAUUGUGUUGUUUACCAGAGUCAACUCAGUUGUGAAGAACAUGACUGAAAAUGAGAUGUUAUUUACAAUAAAUAUAUGACCUUUCAUUUCAUCUCUCUUAUGUGCAAUGAAAUAGUUAACAAUGCUGACAUUUAAUUACCGUCCCAUAGUUAGCACUGCACCAAGAUGAGCUCCAUAGCUCACAUCUCUUGUUCUCUGCAGGCCCACAGAGAUUGAGGCCUUGCUGCACUAAUUAUCCCCUUUUCUACCCACAGCAAGCUGUCAGUUCAGCUCAACUGUAAGAUGAUAUUUCACCUCGAGAGCUGUAGCUCUGCAAUGUUAAUUAACUGGAUAGUUUCAGAGCCUUUGAGUAGAAAAAUGCUGAUGUGGAUGCCAUAUAUCUGCCGUAAUGCACUGGUUAUAAACCAAUUGGUUAUCACAGAGGAAACAGCAGCAAAUGACUUUUGGCCACUUUUCAGCAUGAAAAGACCAUUCCAGAAAACAGUGAUGUGGUGAGAGGUCUGAAUUAAAACUUGCAGCACUAAACAUUUUCUCUUUAACAGAAAUGGAAUACUGUGAUCUGUGAUGGUUUUUGGCAGGGAGAGAACUAAUUUUCUUUAUAGUGGUUUCCAUGGAGCUGGAUUUGUGCUGGAAUCUGUGUUGACAUCACAGGGAUGUUUUGAGCAAUGCUUACAAAGAGCCAAGGCCUUUUCCGAUUCUCCCAUCACCACUGAGUGGACAGCGGUCCAAAAGAGCUGGGAGGGAACACAGCCGGGACAGCUGACUGCAGCUGGUCAUAGGGAUAUUUCAGACCAUGUGGCAUCAUGCCUUGAAGCAUGAAAACCCAUUGUGUUGGGGAAUUUUGCAUUGCAAUGAGCUGCUUGGGAGAUGCUGAGUUGAAAGUCAAAUAAAAUGCUGCUGCUUUAAUAUGUAAAUGAGAGUGAACGCAGUUCAAUAUGCAUAACACUGUCGUUCUUGCUCAACAUUUGCAAACAUUAUCCAAAAAACCCCCAGCUCCAACACACAGGCGGUUUGAGUGCUUAGGUUUGCUUAGUCAUUUUCAGACGAGGUCAGGCAUACUCUGCAUGAUUUGGAGCUCUGAGGCUCUCAGCGAUGUUAAACUGGGAGUGGAAACACUUUGUUGUACAGUUCUCACAGGCGCUCCUUGAACUCACCCAAAAGCUAUCACUAGACAAAAGGCUUCUUUCGGUUCCGCUCCUGGUAAAAUCAUCUGAGUUUAAAACACACACCUCACAUUUUCUUGAAAUGCAAUUGAGGAGGAAAAUACUUGUAAAUUAAAAACACCUCCAGAGUAAUAAUGCAUCACAGAAUACUCUUAACAGCUGAAGUGUCUUCACCCAAAGGAUAUAAAUGCUCAAAAUGAAAAUGCAAAAA